rnacentral:rRNA from 1 species
AGUCUGCAACUCGACUACAUGAAGCUGGAAUCGCUAGUAAUCGCGAAUCAGCAUGUCGCGGUGAAUACGUUCCCGGGUCUUGUACACACCGCCCGUCACACCAUGGGAGUUGGUAACGCCCGAAGCCAGUGACCCAACCUUUAAGGAGGGAGCUGUCGAAGGUGGGACCGAUAACUGGGGUGAAGUCGUAACAAGGUAGC